rnacentral:other from 1 species
CGCUCUCUGCGGUGUUUGUACCGUUCCGUGUCCUUUGAACCUAUAACUCUUGCCUCGGGAAGCGCGCCAGCAGGUGCUGUUGUGCAAGUCCGCUUCGAGCGGAAAGCCUGAAGCGCCUCAGCGUUUCCCACUUGAACCUUUGGUUCGAGGCAAAGGAUGGUACGGCACAGGUGGAGGGCGC